rnacentral:rRNA from 1 species
AUUGAACGCUGGCGGCAUGCCUUACACAUGCAAAUCGAACGGUAACGGGCCUUCGGGUGCCGACGAGUGGCGAACGGGUGAGUAAUACAUCGGAACGUGCCCGAUCGUGGGGGAUAACGAGGCGAAAGCUUUGCUAAUACCGCAUACGAUCUACGGAUGAAAGCAGGGGACCGCAAGGCCUUGCGCGGACGGAGCGGCCGAUGGCAGAUUAGGUAGUUGGUGGGAUAAAAGCUUACCAAGCCGACGAUCUGUAGCUGGUCUGAGAGGAUGAUCAGCCACACUGGGACUGAGACACGGCCCAGACUCCUACGGGAGGCAGCAGUGGGGAAUUUUGGACAAUGGGCGCAAGCCUGAUCCAGCCAUGCCGCGUGCAGGAUGAAGGCCUUCGGGUUGUAAACUGAUUUUGUACGGAACGAAAAGCCUUCUUUUAAUACAGGAGGGUCAUGACGGUACCGUAAUAAUAAGCACCGGCUAACUACGUG